AUACGGAGGGUGCGAGCGUUACUCGGAGUCACUGGGCGUAAAGCGUCCGUAGGCGGUCGGGUAAGUCGGGUGUGAAAGCCCCGGGCUCAACCUGGGAAGUGCACCCGAUACUGCUCGACUCGAGUGCGCGAGAGGAUGGCGGAAUUCCCGGUGUAGCGGUGAAAUGCGUAGAGAUCGGGAGGAACACCAGUGGCGAAGGCGGCCAUCUGGCCCGCAACUGACGCUGAGGGACGAAAGCGUGGGGAGCAAACAGAAUUAGAAACCCUAGUAGUCC
rnacentral:rRNA from 1 species